rnacentral:misc_RNA from 1 species
GCAGCGCCCGCUGCCGCCGCCGUGAUCCCUCCGCAGCGAACCUUUGGAAGCCUAUGCACCCCCUCACGGGGGCCUCGCGACUGUAAACACAGAGGAGCGCAAGUCGCCCGGCGGUCCCGCCGGGCGCGCGACACGAUCGAAUUGCGGGGACGUCCUAAAGCCUCGGGGUACUAACCUCCCGCCGGGAUGCGGGAGGGGCCUGUGCUAAUCACACAGGGUGCAGUAACAACCCCCGAGGAUUCGGCCCACCGUGGCCGGAGUGGAUGAUCCGCAGCGAAGCCCCUCUGCUCAGGGGAACGUUCACAGACUAAGUGGUUGUGGGUAGGCCCAGGCCUACCUAAGAUAUAGUCGGGCCAGCGGGGAGACCCGCUGGGUAUUCGCUGAAUACAUAGCCAGUGAUGGCUAUCGCACCGCUCCGUAGGUGAACCUGCGGAGGGAUCAUUACAGAGUUCGCGCCCUGACGGGUAGAUCUCCCACCCUGUGUUAUCGCUACCGCGUUGCUUUGGCGGGCCGCUAGGCUCGACCCUACCGCUGGCUCCGGCCGGCGCGUGCCCGCCAGAGAACCCCCCUAUCCUGAAUGUCUGUGCCGUCUGAGUACUAUAACAAUAGUUAAAACUUUCAACAACGGAUCUCUUGGUUCUGGCAUCGAUGAAGAACGCAGCGAAAUGCGAUAAGUAAUGCGAAUUGCAGAAUUCAGUGAGUCAUCGAAUCUUUGAACGCACAUUGCGCCCUGUGGUAUUCCGCAGGGCAUGCCUGUUCGAGCGUCAUUUCAACCCUCAAGCCUCGCUUGGUGUUGGGCCCUGCCCGUCGCGGCCGGCCCCAAAGUCAGUGGCGGCACCGUCUGGUCCUACGCGCAGUAAUCCUCUCGCUCUAGGCCCCGGCGGCGGCACGCCAGCAACCCCCAACUCUCCACGGUGACCUCGAU